rnacentral:lncRNA from 1 species
CUGGUUUGACAUGGGCUCUUCAUAGACAUUACGGUGAUGGAAGCCUUUACUAGGUGUCUUUACAUUGACAAUACUCCACCAGCGAAGAAUGAUUUUGAUGAACUUUGGUUUUGGCAGAAACAUCUUCAUUGCCUUCCUGUUGAGCGAGUUAUUGUCGCAGACAACGGCUAUGACCCUGUAUCCAAUCUCUUCUAAGCGCAAGAUAACCUUCUUCAGCAUGGCAUGACGGUCAUCACCCUGUAAGGUUUUAACCGGAAUAAUGUGCGCCACCUCCUUGAACGAGCUCAGUAGACUUUGUAUCAUAAAUACAUGCACCGACGUGGC